GCAUAAACAGCAUUCAGAUACGAAAAAUAUGAACAUCAACAUUCAACAUGGACUGAUGGACUUGGACAUGGAGCCACAGUACUCUAAAGUUCUCAUAUAGACUUUAUUUAACUUAUAUGUUGACCCAAUGGUGAGGGAUUGGUCAAAUUAUACUUUAUAGUGAUUCCCCUAGACUAGUGCAUUGGUUAUUGUGCAAUGACAACCUUUUUUUGGCUCUCAAAGGUCAAUAAUUUCUCAAACAUGCCAAGUCUGUACAUGUUUAAUAAUCUAAUCUGUUUAUUUUUUAUUUUGCUUUUCUAGAUUGCCAACCAUUCCUGUUGAACUACAUUGUUCAUUACAAUGAAUCAGAUGCAGAUUCUUACAACUAUGUUAAUUUGUUCUUCUGAUUGGGGAAAACCUGAGACUAUUUGAUCUUAUAUUGGAAUGCCUACCAAUUUUACAUAGCCUCAGGCAAUGUUUAUAUAAUUAAUCUUGAGUAAUAGAGAUGCUGUACCCCCUGACGGAGUGACCUUACUACCUGGAUCAUCCCACUAGGCAAGACAAGUUCAAAACUUUCCAUGCAAACACUUGCAUGGCAGUUGCUAUAAUAGGAUAUGAAUAUAGUUUUGCCUUGCCAGGGUGGCUCGGGGGGGGGGGGUAAGAUUUCCCUAGUACCCGGAGACCAUAUAGACAGGCCGUCGGAUUACUGUAAUAGUUUAAUUGAGGUUCAAAAAAGCAGCCCCCUCCCCCAAAGUGGUAGGCCUGCUCCCCAAAUCCAGCCCCCCUUGGAAGAUGUACUGUAAAGCUAGACAAUUUUACUUGUUAACCCAACUUUAUUAUUCUGUCUAACACCGGGCGAUCCAGUUAACCCAUUGAGUUGCAUUGCAUGUGCCCUGAUGCACCCUACUUUAUUAUUUUACUCUGUCUAACGCCAGACGAUUUUACUCGUCAAGGGGUGGGCACACUUUAACAGGCAAAGUAUUAAUUGGGAAUACUUUCUCUUUUAAUGGGAAACUCUUUAUCAAUGAAAGCAGGGAUGGAUUUACUGGGGGGGUGCGGGGGGGUGCACACCUCCCCUAGCCCUGGCCAGGAGGGGUGCAGGGGGAGUGCUAUUUUUCACGAUAAAGCAAAAAAUUAUCAGAGACAAAAUGAAAUUCAGUAAUUUGAGUAAUAACAUGAUGAUAAGCGAACUGUGAACAACAAUUACAAUUCAAAUACUGUAGCUAGACUUUGCAGUGGUUAAGCAAGUUGAUGGAUGUGUAAAGUCACUGGAAAGCAAUUGCAACGUACUCGUCCGGAAAAAAAUUUUCCCUAAAAAGUUGUCGAUGGGGGGGGGGGGAGGUUGUUGCUUUCCGAAAAAAAUUUUUGGCGGAGCACCCCCCCUACCAGACCAUGCUGGAUCCAUCCCUGAAUAAAAGGAACAAUGCAAUUAUUCAUAGUAUUUAAUUUUUCAUAUAAAGCAAAGACUGUAAGAGGAAACAUGGAUCAUUGGCUACUUUUUUUAUUUAGUAUUAAUUUUCAUGACAACAUGUGGGGUCAACUAUAAAGGAAACAGUUAUUGCCUAUUUUGGAAUAAAAAAUUUAGAAUAUAGCAAUAUUCAUUGACAUUGAACACAUAUUUAAUUUAUUUAGUUUUUGAAUAAUUUAAGUUCUUAAAUGUAUAUAAAUGUGAAAUAAAAUAAACAACAUUUAUUAAAAUAAACUUUGUAUUUUUAAACCUCAAUUACACUGUUGUAUUUACAUUUCACUGUUGUAGUAUUUACACUGUCAGUAGUAAUUACACUGUAGUAUUUACAUUUCAAGACCUUAUAAACCAACAUCAUUCCUUGGAGUUUCUCAUGACAAGAUGUCUCAACCAAGAUCCUCUGGAGAACUUCUUUGGCCUCAUUAGGCAGCAGGGGGGGGAUUGUGACAACCAAUUAGUUCCAUCCAGUUCACCAGAGCAUUUUGCAUAUUAAGUUCUUUGAAUAAU